AUACAGAGGGUGCGAGCGUUAAUCGGAAUUACUGGGCGUAAAGGGCGCGUAGGUGGAUGUAUAAGUUGGGUGUGAAAUUUCUGGGCUUAACCUGGAGAGGCCAUCCGAUACUGUAUGUCUAGAGUGCAGGAGAGGUAAGCGGAAUUUCCAGUGUAGCGGUGAAAUGCGUAGAUAUUGGAAGGAACAUCAGUGGCGAAGGCGGCUUACUGGACUGAGACUGACACUGAGGCGCGAAAGCGUGGGUAGCGAACAGGAUUAGAAACCCGAGUAGUCC
rnacentral:rRNA from 1 species